AAGGAAGGAAGCCACCUUUGUUCUGAGUUCCCAGGCUAGGGGUCACCUAGGAGCUGCAGCUGCCGGCCUACACCAUAGUCACAGCAAUGCUAGAUGCGAGCCACAUCUGCGACCUACACCACAGCUUACGGAAAUGCCAGAUCCUUAACCUACUGAGCAGGGCUAGGGAUUGAACUUGCAUCCUCAUGGAUACUAGUCAGGUUCAUUACUGCUGAGCCACAACAGGAACUCUUUGUUUUUCUUUUUAAAUUAAAGAAUUUUACACAAUUUUUAAAAGUUACUUUCCAUUUGCAGUUAUUACAAAAUGCUGACUCUGUUCCUCGUGUUGUACCCUAUACACCUUGAACCUCUUUCACACCCAGUAGUUUGGACCCUCCUGCCCCUCCCCCUCCCCAGGUAACCACUAGUUCUCUAUAUCUGGGAAUCUGCCUCUUUUUCUUUUUUUUUGGAUGUUACUGGGAUGGGGUAUAGUUGAUUCACAAUGUUGUGUUUUAGGUGUACAGCAAAGUGAAUCAGUUAUAUAUGUGUUCCUUUCUCAGAUUCUUUUCCCUUACAGGUCAUUACAAAAUAUUGAGUAGAUUUCCCUGUGUUGUACAAUAGUUCCUUGAGAAUCUGCUUCUUUUUUGUUACAUUCACUUGUUCAUUUUCCUUGAUGUCCUUUCUCAAUUCCUUCAGCACAUUUGAUUUCAUGGGUAGAACAAAACCAGGGGAGAGUGAAGCACAUGGUCAGAGGUGACUUUCUCCAGACUUUAAUUUUCCUGCAAAAGGAAACUUUGUCUUUUUCCAGCUCCCUGUCUAGGUGAAGAGCUGUGUGAUUAUCCACAUCUUCCACCAGCAGUCUUGCAAGAUGGUCACAUUUGCCAGGGAAUUAUUUUAUAGAUGAAAAAAUUUGAGUUGGCUUUUAGUUUCAGAGUAAAAUAAUUGCUAGUUAAAUGACUUACAUUAGUGGAUCAGACCCAGUUAAUGUAAGCGUGUGCCUCUCUUAAAAUAAAAGUUGAAAAAUUGAAUUUGUUCCUUGGUAAUUUGAUUUGUAGGAAGUGCGGAACAAAGGAUUCCAAACAGGGCUUUUAAAAUCAGCACUAAUUAAUUGCGUGUGCAGAUGCACCAGGGAAGAUUUGGAGGCAAUUAGUCUCAUUAUGUUUAAAAUACAGUUGCGCGCCUAAAUAGAUCACCACACCCGCAGGCCUGCCUAUCUUUUUCUACUUUCUCCUUUAGGCAUGUAGUGAAUUUUUUGGCCAUUAAGCAUGACCUCGUCAGAGUCUGUGGAGCAGAACAGAGUGACAGACUGUAGAGGAGUGGCAUUGCACACCUCCAGCUCGGCAGUAAGGCUGUUCAGCAGCCUAGAUGGGGACACUAAGAUGUGCUGGGGACAACUUAGGUUCUCUACCCACCCCCCCUUGCCUUUUUUUUUUUUUUUGGAAGUCUGCGCUCUCGCUGAAAUAUUUUUCUCUUGCUCUGACUUGGAGUAAACUGUAACUGAGUCUUGUUUCUGAACAUGAUGAAGUGAUUUGAGUUUGAGAGUAAAAGUUGAGUAAGUAGCACCUUGCCUAAUAAUAUACCCUUAGCAUGGAAGACUUAGCUGCUGGCCAGCUGAAGGGGAGGGUCAGGUGGGAGGGGCCAGGUGGGGAGGCAGAUGGAGGGAGCCAAGUGGGGGGCCAAGUAAAGGCCAGGUGGGAGGAGGUAGGGGUAGAUGGGCUUCUGGAGUCGUUUUAUACCUGCCAGGUCUUCAACUGUUGCUGCUACAGUGGAUGUGACAGUCCUUCAAAACCAUGUUUUUCUUUUUGACUUAAGUACAGGAGACUGAACCAGAGACAUUUUUUCUGUCUUUUCAUUAAAAAGUAAAGGGAACCACUUUUCUCUUCUGUAGAUUCAGUUUUAUGGGAAGAACUGUUGAAGGUGGUCUUCUGCAACUAUUCCCCUAUUGCCCUUCCUUUGGUUUCUGGUAGCACUAAAAGUGAUUUAUAAAUUACAUUUUCAGUUUAUAGGCUGUCCUGCCGUUACAAGACUACCGUCUUUAUUCCCUACCUACCACAGCGAUUUUGCUUUUCCCUGCAGCUGCAUUGGCUGUAUUUCUGAUCAUAUUAUUUGCAGCAGAAACUGAGGUUUUCUGUCAUUGCUGUCUUAAUAGCUGGAUUGUGUGGUUUUCUCCAAGUAGGUUUUCUCCUACAAAGACGGAUCUUGAGGACCCAUGGCGGUGGCAUUUUGGUUUUUGAUUUUGGUAGUUCUGGUGUAAGAACAAAGCUUACUUCAUCUGUGGAUUUAGGUAGCAGUGGACAAAUUUAGAUGAAGAUUUGAAACACAGACAUUUGAGUAGAUAGGUCACUGGGCAAUGAGGCUUGUUCACGGUUUGCCUGUGGACACAGGCUUAACUCUGAGUAGCUGUUCAGAGAUGACAGUUCAGUUUUCCUUCUUGGAGGUUGCUUUGCCAAAGAGUUGGUGUUUGAGAAGUUUAUUCUUUAAUCUUUGAAAUAAAGCAACUCUUUUUUUUUUUUUUUUUCCUUUUUAGGGUUGCACCCUCAGCAUAUGGAAGUUCUCAGGCUAGGGGUCAGAUCGGAGCUACAGUUGCAGGCCUACACCACAGCCACAGCAGCACUGGAUCUGAGCCAUGUCUUUGACCUGUGCUGCAGCUUGCUGCAAUGCAGGAUCCUUAACCCACUGAGCAAGGCUGGGGAUUGAACCCACAUCCUCAUGAAGACAAGUCAGGUCCUUAACCCACUAAGCCACAACAGUAACUCCAAAACCACUCAUCUAAUCAUGGUAAACAUACCCAGAUUCUUUUAAGGUCGAGUCAAAUUUUGGAAUUUGGUUUGUAAUAUGGCAGAAGAUAAAUAUGUUCUUUUAAACAGAUGUCAGUGCCCGUCAUGCUGUUAUUAUGCCAGAAUAUAUGCUCAUAGAACAUGGAUGUGUUUGGUGUACUUACCUCCAUGUGUUGGGUGACCUCUGUACAUGACCUGGAUUUUGCAUAACCUUUACCAAAAAUGGCAUAACUCACACUUUUGCUUUGUUAUGAAUUUGGUGCAUUUUUUUUUUCAUGCAAAGUCUUAUAUAUUAUACUCUUUUCUUUUCUUUGGUUUUUAGGGCCACACCUGUGGCAUAUGGAGGUUCCCAGGGGUCGAAUCGGAGCUACAGCUGUCAGCCUACACCACAGCCACAGCAACAUGGGCUCUGAGCCAUGUCUGCAAUCUACACAGCACCUCACGGCAACACUGGAUCCUUAACCCACUGAGUGAGGUCAGAGAUUGAACCCACAUCCUCAUGGAUACUAGUUGGGCUCUUUAACCACUGAGCCAUGACAGGAACUCCAAUCCUCUUUGUUUCUUAUUAUCAAAAUCUUAAAUAAUAGCACAAUUUAAAAAUAUUGAAAGAAUGAACAGGUUAUAACAACAGAACUGAAAACCACUGCUUAAGUCUAGAAACAUUGGGGUUGCCAUUGUGUCGUGGUUAAAUUUGUGCAACUUAAAAAAAAUAUUCUGUCCUGUGUAUUAUUUUAUUAGCCUCCACAUAGUAUAUUUUAAAUAUUAUCUUAAAUAUUACCAUAUGCAUGUUGGUUAGUUAGGACACAAUUUUGUGUGUCUUUCCCCUUUAAGAAUUCUUGUUAUAGUUAGAUGAAUUUCAAUGAUUAACUUAUGGUCUGGGAGAAUUUAGAUUGAUUGACAUUCUGGCAUUGGUAGUAUAGUGCAUUCUUGAGUCCACACAAAAAAAAGAUGUAUUGUGAAACCCCAGAAUUGGGUAGAAAGAGAUCGUCUGUGUAGUGGCUUUAAAAAAAAAAAAAAAAAAAAA
rnacentral:lncRNA from 1 species